UAGGGAAUCUUCGGCAAUGGACGAAAGUCUGACCGAGCAACGCCGCGUGAGUGAAGAAGGUUUUCGGAUCGUAAAACUCUGUUGUUAGAGAAGAACAAGGACGUUAGUAACUGAACGUCCCCUGACGGUAUCUAACCAGAAAGCCACGGCUAACUACGUGCCAGCAGCCGCGGUAAUACGUAGGUGGCAAGCGUUGUCCGGUUUUCUUGGGCGUAAAGCGAGCGCAGGCGGUUUCUUUAGUCUGAUGUGAAAGCCCCCGGCUCAACCGGGGAGGGUCAUUGGAAGCUGGGAGACUUGAGUGCAGAAGAGGAGAGUGGAAUUCCAUGUGUAGCGGUGAACUGCGUAGAUAUAUGGAGGAACACCAGUGACGAAGGCGGCUCUCUGGUCUGUAACUGACGCUGAGGCUCGAAAGCGUGGGGAGCAAACAGG
rnacentral:rRNA from 1 species